CAGCCGCCGCGGGAAUACAGAGGGUGCGAGCGUUAAUCGGAUUUACUGGGCGUAAAGCUUGCGUAGGCGGCUUCUUAAGUCGGAUGUGAAAUCCCUGAGCUUAACUUAGGAAUUGCAUUCGAUACUGGGAAGCUAGAGUAUGGGAGAGGAUGGUAGAAUUCCAGGUGUAGCGGUGAAAUGCGUAGAGAUCUGGAGGAAUACCGAUGGCGAAGGCAGCCAUCUGGCCUAAUACUGACGCUGAGGUACGAAAGCAUGGGGAGCAAACAGGAUUAGAUACCCCCGUAGUCCCUGUCUCUUAUAC
rnacentral:rRNA from 1 species